AUCCAGGUGCUUUAGAGAAGGGAUUGGCCCACUGAGUUCUCCCACCAUGUCCCAGGCACUUCUUCUCUUCACAUCUCUUCUUCUGAUCUCUGCUGAUCCCAGCCUUCAACAACUGCAGACCCUGAAGGACCUAGAAUUUGUGGCACCUGGCGGGACAGUCAUCAUAUCUUGCCGAUAUGAUGGUGGAAAUCUCGGGGAUGGCCACGACUUUUCAUGGUCCCAGCAGAUUCCUGGGCAACAACCUGAAGGAUUGAUCUAUCACACCAGUUCCAGACUAUCGGGGGUUCCAGAACGUUUCUCUGGAUCCAGAUCAGAGAAUAUGAUGUCCUUGACUAUCACUGGGGCUCUACGUGAAGAUGAAGCCACCUAUUAUUGCUCCAUCUGGAUGAAUAAUGAGUUCCACAGCAAUUCAUUCAGGUGA